rnacentral:lncRNA from 1 species
CAAAGGAAUGCGUGUGCGUGCUGCUGGGAGGUGGAUGAUCACCUUUCUGCAGAUGUAUGGAAAGGACAUCUGUCGGGACGUGCCACUGACCAACUACAUCCUGCGCAGCUGCACGUCGUCCCCACAGCACAGCACGUUCAUGCCAUUCCUGUCCCAGGCGGUGGUCAUCCUCACGCGCUGUCAGGCAGACGUCACGACUGACAGCUUCUUUCCGGCUGCUUGGAGCCCACAGACAGUGAGACAUGGAGGAGAAUAAGAGCAAUUUGUCUUCAAUGGUGGAGCCAAGAGAAGAAAAAAAAGAGGAAAGAGAAGGAAAGGAAAAAGCAACGGGAGAAAGAGAUGAGAGGAG